rnacentral:rRNA from 1 species
CCUACGGGAGGCAGCAGUGGGGAAUAUUGCACAAUGGGGGAAACCCUGAUGCAGCGACGCCGCGUGAAGGAAGAAGGUUUUCGGAUCGUAAACUUCUAUCAGCAGGGAAGAAGAAAGUGACAGUACCUGACUAAGAAGCCCCGGCUAACUACGUGCCAGCAGCCGCGGUAAUACGUAGGAGGCAAGGGGUAUCCGGAAUCACUGGGCGUAAAGGGUGCGUAGGCGGUAGGGCAAGUCAGAUGUGAAAGCCCGGGGCUCAACCCCGGGAUUGCAUUUGAAACUGUCUUACUAGAGUGCAGGAGAGGGAAGAGGAAUUCCUAGAAUAGCGGUGAAAGGCGUAGAUAUUAAGAAGAACACCAGUGGCGAAGGCGGCUUUCUAGACUGUAACUGACGCUGAGGCACGAAGGCGUGGGGAGCAAACAGGAUUAGAUACCCUAGUAGUG